rnacentral:rRNA from 1 species
UACGUGGGGUGCAAGCGUUGUUCGGAUUUACUGGGCGUAAAGCGCGCGUAGGCGGUUUGUUAAGUCAGCUGUGAAAGCCCCGGGCUCAACCUGGGAACUGCAGUUGAUACUGUCCGACUAGAGUACGAGAGAGGGAGGUAGAAUUCCAUGUGUAGCGGUGAAAUGCGUAGAUAUAUGGAGGAAUACCAGUGGCGAAGGCGGCCUCCUGGCUCGAUACUGACGCUGAGGUGCGAAAGCGUGGGGAUCAAACAGG